UACGUAGGGUGCGAGCGUUGUCCGGAAUUAUUGGGCGUAAAGAGCUCGUAGGCGGUGUGUCGCGUCGGCCGUGAAAACCUGGGGCUCAACUCUGGGCGUGCGGUCGAUACGGGCAUCACUUGAGUUCGGCAGGGGAGACUGGAAUUCCUGGUGUAGCGGUGGAAUGCGUAGAGAUCCGAUAGAAGACCGGUGGCGAAGGCGGCCUGCUGGGCAGUAACUGACACUGAGGCGCGACAGCGUGGGGAGCAAACAGG
rnacentral:rRNA from 1 species